AUUGAACGCUGGCGGCAGGCCUAACACAUGCAAGUCGAACGGUAACAGGAAGCAGCUUGCUGCUUUGCUGACGAGUGGCGGACGGGUGAGUAAUGUCUGGGAAACUGCCUGAUGGAGGGGGAUAACUACUGGAAACGGUAGCUAAUACCGCAUAACGUCGCAAGACCAAAGAGGGGGACCUUCGGGCCUCUUGCCAUCGGAUGUGCCCAGAUGGGAUUAGCUAGUAGGUGGGGUAACGGCUCACCUAGGCGACGAUCCCUAGCUGGUCUGAGAGGAUGACCAGCCACACUGGGACUGAGACACGGUCCAGACUCCUACGGGAGGCAGCAGUGGGGAAUAUUGCACAAUGGGCGCAAGCCUGAUGCAGCCAUGCCGCGUGUAUGAAGAAGGCCUUCGGGUUGUAAAGUACUUUCAGCGGGGAGGAAGGGAGUAAAGUUAAUACCUUUGCUCAUUGACGUUACCCGCAGAAGAAGCACCGGCUAACUCCGUG
rnacentral:rRNA from 1 species